GGUUUAAUUUCUGCAUGUACCUUGCAGUUCUUGAACUGGAGGCAGCUGAAGCAGAUCAUGUUGAGUAUCUUCGUCAGCUCGGUGAUAUGGCUUGGGUGGUAGACGGACACGGGCAGCUUGAUGAACCCGAAAUGACCUUCAGCCAGCCAUGAGAAGACGAGUUUUGUCAGAAAAUAAUAAAUGAAGGCGGGCAGAAUCAAUGUCAUUACAACAAUCUCUUUGUCAGCUCAGUUCAGGAACACACUAUAAAUCAGUCGAGAUAAAUGCUGCGGCAUUGACUUUUAUCAACAAUGUCUUUGACAGUGUACAACAGUAAACUGAACGGCCAGGUGGAAUGAGAUGCUGUUAUUUCAGCCGAGUUUUUUGAGUAUUGCCGAAAGCUUAGGAACAGGAGAUACCUAUCCUAUCAGUUGAGACAAAUGCUGACGCAGAACUGAUUUUAGCAAGAAUACUCUGACAAUGUAUAAUACUCAAGUGAGUAGUCAGAUCAGCUGUUAUCAUAUCAAACUAUUUGUGUUUCAACAGAGUGAUCUUGCCUACUGUAG
rnacentral:rRNA from 1 species